rnacentral:lncRNA from 1 species
CUAUAUGAAAAAACCCUCAAUCUUAACAAGGGGAAGGGUAGUCUUCAGUUAGUUUGACCAUGUGUUCAAAUUUCAAAAAGGAAGUAUCCCAUCUGAGGAUCAACCACACCUUAUCCCUCACGUGAGGUCGAAAAUCACAAAUCUAUAACGAUUAUCCCUCGCCAACAAAAGGAAUGAAGCAGUCGUGACCCUUUCAACAAAUUAAAUGAAUAAAUGUCACAUGAUUUG